rnacentral:rRNA from 1 species
CCUACGGGUGGCAGCAGUAGGGAAUAUUGCUCAAUGGGGGAAACCCUGAAGCAGCAACGUCGCGUGGAGGAUGAAGGUCUUCGGAUUGUAAACUCCCUUUGUUAGAGAAGAUAAUGACGGUAUCUAACGAUCAAGCACCGUCCAACUCCGUGACAGCAGCCGCGGCAAUAUGGAGGGUGCAAGGGUAAUUCGGAAUCACUGGGCGUAAAGAGCGCGUAGGCGGGAUAGCAAGUGAGAUGUUAAAUCGUAGGGGUUAAACAUAGAACUGCAUUUGAAACUGUUAUUCUAGAGUAUGGGAGAGGUAGGUGGAAUUCUUGGUGUAGCGGUAAAAUCCAUAGAGAUCAAGAGGAAUACUGAUUGCGAAGGCGGCCUGCUGGAGCAUAACUGACGCUGAUGCACGAAAGCGUGGGGAGCGAACAGGAUUAGAUACCCUGGUAGUC